GGGCCCUUAGCUCAGUUGGUAGAGCGCCUCGCUUGCACCGAGGAGGUCAGGAGUUCGAACCCCCUAGGGUCCACCA
rnacentral:tRNA from 1 species